rnacentral:rRNA from 1 species
UACGUAGGGGCAAGCGUUGUCCGGAAUCAUUGGGCGUAAAGAGCGUGUAGGCGGCCUGGUAAGUCCGCUGUGAAAGUCCAGGGCUCAACCCUGGAAUGCCGGUGGAAACUGUCAGGCUCGAGUCCGGAAGAGGCGAAGUGGAAUUCCUGGUGUAGCGGUGAAAUGCGUAGAUAUCAGGAGGAACACCGGUGGUGUAGACGGCUUCUGGACCGAGACUGACGCUGAGGCGCGAAAGCGUGGGGAGCAAACAGGAUAGAUACCU